rnacentral:rRNA from 1 species
CCUACGGGAGGCAGCAGUCGGGAAUUUUGGGCAAUGGGCGAAAGCCUGACCCAGCAACGCCGCGUGAAGGAUGAAAUCCCUCGGGAUGUAAACUUCGCAAGAACAGGAAGAAUAAGCCGGUGCUAACCUCACCGGCGAUGACGGUACUGUUUGUAAGCUCCGGCUAACUCCGUGCCAGCAGCCGCGGUAAUACGGGGGGAGCAAGCGUUGUUCGGAUUUACUGGGCGUAAAGGGCGCGUAGGCGGCCUCCGCAAGUCGACUGUGAAAUCUCCGGGCUUAACCCGGAACGGUCAGCCGAUACUGCGGGGCUAGAGUGCAGAAGGGGCAACUGGAAUUCUCGGUGUAGCGGUGAAAUGCGUAGAUAUCGAGAGGAACACCUGCGGCGAAGGCGGGUUGCUGGGCUGACACUGACGCUGAGGCGCGAAAGCUAGGGGAGCGAACGGGAUUAGAUACCCCGGUAGUCCUAGCCUUAAACGAUGAAUGCUUGGUGUCUGGGGUUUUAUAGUCCCCGGGUGCCGUCGCUAACGCUUUAAGCAUUCCGCCUGGGGAGUACGGUCGCAAGACUGAAACUCAAAGGAAUUGACGG